rnacentral:rRNA from 1 species
GACGAAGGGGGCAAGCGUUGUUCGGAAUUACUGGGCGUAAAGGGCGCGUAGGCGGCUCUGUAAGUCAGGUGUGAAAGCCCUGGGCUCAACCUGGGAGUGGCACUUGAUACUGUUCGGCUCGAGACCGGAAGAGGUUAGUGGAACUGCGAGUGUAGAGGUGAAAUUCGUAGAUAUUCGCAAGAACACCGGUGGCGAAGGCGGCUUCCUGGCCCGUACCUGACGCUGAGGCACGAAAGCGUGGGGAGCAAACAGG